UACCUUUAACAGGGGAAUAACCCGUUGAAAAACGGACUAAUACGUCCAUAACACAGGGGUCCCGCAUGGGAAUAUUUGUUAAAGAUUAAUCGGUUGAAGAUGGGCAUGCGUUCCAUUAGCUUGUUGGUGAGGUAACGGCUCACCAAGGCCACGAUGGAUAGGGGAACUGAGAGGUUUAUCCCCCACACUGGAACUGAGACACGGUCCAGACUCCUACGGGAGGCAGCAGUGAGGAAUAUUGGUCAAUGGAGGCAACUCUGAACCAGCCAAGUCGCGUGAAGGGAAUGAAGGUCUUAUGGAUUGUAAACUUCUUUUGCAAGGGAAUAAAGUGGGGACGUGUCCUCCUUUGCAUGUACCUUGCGAAUAAGGAUCGGCUAACUCCGUGCCAGCAGCUGC
rnacentral:rRNA from 1 species